rnacentral:rRNA from 1 species
GACAGAGGGUGCAAACGUUGUUCGGCAUUACUGGGCGUAAAGCGCGUGUCGGCGGCUAUGUGUGUCGGGCGUGAAAUCCCAUGGCUCAACCAUGGAAGUGCACCCGAAACUGCAUAGCUAGAGUCCUGGAGAGGAAGGUGGAAUGCUUGGUGUAGAGGUGAAAUUCGUAGAUAUCAAGCGGAACACCGGUGGCGAAGGCGGCCUUCUGGACAGUGACUGACGCUGAGACGCGAAAGCGUGGGGAGCAAACAGG